rnacentral:rRNA from 1 species
AAAACAUCUCUUUUAGAAUAAAAUUUUAAGUUGUCUCUGCCCAAUGAAUUAAAAUUUGAAUGGCUGCAGUAUUUUAACUGUACAAAGGUAGCAUAAUAAAUUGUUUUUUAAAUGAAAACUUGAAUGAAUGAGGUGAUGAAAUAUAAACUUUUUUUAAAUAAUUUUUUGAAUUUAAUUUUUUAAUUAAAAAGUUAAAAUAUUUUUAAGGGACGAGAAGACCCUAUAGAAUUUUACAAUUUAAAAUUUUAAUAUAAUAUAAUUUUGAUUUGUUUAUUUGGGAGGAAUAUUAAAUUUUUAAACUUUAAAAUAUAAAUUACAUAAAUUAAUGGUUAUUUAGAUUUUUUUUUGAAAAUUUUAGAUUAAAUUACCUUAGGGAUAACAGCAUAAUAAUUUUUUAUAGUUCUUAUUGAAAAAAUUGUUU